GGUUGAGAAACACUGGUAUAGUGGUUAUGGUGUCAGAUUAGGAUUUAGGAGACCAGGGUUCGAAUCCCAACUUGGCCA